rnacentral:rRNA from 1 species
AGUGAACGCUGGCGAUAGGCCUAACACAUGCAAGUCGAACGGCAGCACAGUAAGAGCUUGCUCUUACGGGUGGCGAGUGGCGGACGGGUGAGGAAUACAUCGGAAUCUACUUUUUCGUGGGGGAUAACGUAGGGAAACUUACGCUAAUACCGCAUACGACCUACGGGUGAGAGCAGGGGAUCUUCGGACCUUGCGCGAUUGAAUGAGCCGAUGUCGGAUUAGCUAGUUGGCGGGGUAAAGGCCCACCAAGGCGACGAUCCGUAGCUGGUCUGAGAGGAUGAUCAGCCACACUGGAACUGAGACACGGUCCAGACUCCUACGGGAGGCAGCAGUGGGGAAUAUUGGACAAUGGGCGCAAGCCUGAUCCAGCCAUACCGCGUGGGUGAAGAAGGCCUUCGGGUUGUAAAGCCCUUUUGUUGGGAAAGAAAAGCAGCAGGUUAAUACCCCGCUGUUCUGACGGUACCCAAAGAAUAAGCACCGGCUAACUUCGUG